rnacentral:sRNA from 1 species
CAGCACCUACACAGCGUAAGCCCUUCCUCUCAAACACCCUUGCAGCCCCGAAGCUGCGCCAGUUGAAUAAGUGCGCGUAUUUUAAA